rnacentral:rRNA from 1 species
GGGUUGUGAGGUUAAGCGACUAAGCGUACACGGUGGAUGCCCUGGCAGUCAGAGGCGAUGAAGGACGUGCUAAUCUGCGAAAAGCGUCGGUAAGGUGAUAUGAACCGUUAUAACCGGCGAUGUCCGAAUGGGGAAACCCAGUGUGAUUCGUCACACUAUCGUUAACUGAAUACAUAGGUUAACGAGGCGAACCGGGGGAACUGAAACAUCUAAGUACCCCGAGGAAAAGAAAUCAACCGAGAUUCCCCCAGUAGCGGCGAGCGAACGGGGAGCAGCCCAGAGUCUGAAUCAGCUUGUGUGUUAGUGGAACGGUCUGGAAAGUCCGACGGUACAGGGUGAUAGUCCCGUACACCAAAAUGCACAGGCUGUGAACUCGAAGAGUAGGGCGGGACACGUGGUAUCCUGUCUGAAUAUGGGGGGACCAUCCUCCAAGGCUAAAUACUCCUGACUGACCGAUAGUGAACCAGUACCGUGAGGGAAAGGCGAAAAGAACCCCGGCGAGGGGAGUGAAAAAGAACCUGAAACCGUGUACGUACAAGCAGUGGGAGCACCUUUAUGGUGUGACUGCGUACCUUUUGUAUAAUGGGUCAGCGACUUAUAUUCUGUAGCAAGGUUAACCGUAUAGGGGAGCCGCAGGGAAACCGAGUCUUAACUGGGCGUUAAGUUGCAGGGUAUAGACCCGAAACCCGGUGAUCUAGCCAUGGGCAGGUUGAAGGUUGGGUAACACUAACUGGAGGACCGAACCGACUAAUGUUGAAAAAUUAGCGGAUGACUUGUGGCUGGGGGUGAAAGGCCAAUCAAACCGGGAGAUAGCUGGUUCUCCCCGAAAGCUAUUUAGGUAGCGCCUCGUGAACUCAUCUUCGGGGGUAGAGCACUGUUUCGGCUAGGGGGUCAUCCCGACUUACCAACCCGAUGCAAACUACGAAUACCGAAGAAUGUUAUCACGGGAGACACACGGCGGGUGCUAACGUCCGUCGUGAAGAGGGAAACAACCCAGACCGCCAGCUAAGGUCCCAAAGUCAUGGUUAAGUGGGAAACGAUGUGGGAAGGCACAGACAGCCAGGAUGUUGGCUUAGAAGCAGCCAUCAUUUAAAGAAAGCGUAAUAGCUCACUGGUCGAGUCGGCCUGCGCGGAAGAUGUAACGGGGCUAAACCAUGCACCGAAGCUGCGGCAGCGACACUAUGUGUUGUUGGGUAGGGGAGCGUUCUGUAAGCCUGCGAAGGUGGCCUGUGAGGGCUGCUGGAGGUAUCAGAAGUGCGAAUGCUGACAUAAGUAACGAUAAAGCGGGUGAAAAGCCCGCUCGCCGGAAGACCAAGGGUUCCUGUCCAACGUUAAUCGGGGCAGGGUGAGUCGACCCCUAAGGCGAGGCCGAAAGGCGUAGUCGAUGGGAAACAGGUUAAUAUUCCUGUACUUGGUGUUACUGCGAAGGGGGGACGGAGAAGGCUAUGUUAGCCGGGCGACGGUUGUCCCGGUUUAAGCAUGUAGGCUGGUUAUCCAGGCAAAUCCGGAUAAUCAAGGCUGAGGUGUGAUGACGAAGCACUACGGUGCUGAAGUAACAAAUGCCCUGCUUCCAGGAAAAGCCUCUAAGCAUCAGGUAACAUCAAAUCGUACCCCAAACCGACACAGGUGGUCAGGUAGAGAAUACCAAGGCGCUUGAGAGAACUCGGGUGAAGGAACUAGGCAAAAUGGUGCCGUAACUUCGGGAGAAGGCACGCUGGUGUGUAGGUGAAGCCCCUGCGGGUGGAGCUGAGACCAGUCGAAGAUACCAGCUGGCUGCAACUGUUUAUUAAAAACACAGCACUGUGCAAACACGAAAGUGGACGUAUACGGUGUGACGCCUGCCCGGUGCCGGAAGGUUAAUUGAUGGGGUUAUCCGUAAGGAGAAGCUCUUGAUCGAAGCCCCGGUAAACGGCGGCCGUAACUAUAACGGUCCUAAGGUAGCGAAAUUCCUUGUCGGGUAAGUUCCGACCUGCACGAAUGGCGUAAUGAUGGCCAGGCUGUCUCCACCCGAGACUCAGUGAAAUUGAACUCGCUGUGAAGAUGCAGUGUACCCGCGGCAAGACGGAAAGACCCCGUGAACCUUUACUAUAGCUUGACACUGAACAUUGAGCCUUGAUGUGUAGGAUAGGUGGGAGGCUUUGAAGCGUGGACGCCAGUCUGCGUGGAGCCAACCUUGAAAUACCACCCUUUAAUGUUUGAUGUUCUAACGUUGGCCCCUAAUCGGGGUUGCGGACAGUGUCUGGUGGGUAGUUUGACUGGGGCGGUCUCCUCCCAAAGCGUAACGGAGGAGCACGAAGGUUAGCUAAUCCUGGUCGGACAUCAGGAGGUUAGUGCAAUGGCAUAAGCUAGCUUGACUGCGAGCGUGACGGCGCGAGCAGGUGCGAAAGCAGGUCAUAGUGAUCCGGUGGUUCUGAAUGGAAGGGCCAUCGCUCAACGGAUAAAAGGUACUCCGGGGAUAACAGGCUGAUACCGCCCAAGAGUUCAUAUCGACGGCGGUGUUUGGCACCUCGAUGUCGGCUCAUCACAUCCUGGGGCUGAAGUAGGUCCCAAGGGUAUGGCUGUUCGCCAUUUAAAGUGGUACGCGAGCUGGGUUUAGAACGUCGUGAGACAGUUCGGUCCCUAUCUGCCGUGGGCGCUGGAGAAUUGAGGGGGGCUGCUCCUAGUACGAGAGGACCGGAGUGGACGCAUCACUGGUGUUCGGGUUGUCAUGCCAAUGGCACUGCCCGGUAGCUAAAUGCGGAAGAGAUAAGUGCUGAAAGCAUCUAAGCACGAAACUUGCCCCGAGAUGAGUUCUCCCUGAGACUUUAAGUCUCCUGAAGGAACGUUGAAGACGACGACGUUGAUAGGCCGGGUGUGUAAGCGCAGCGAUGCGUUGAGCUAACCGGUACUAAUGAACCGUGAGGCUUAACCUUACAACGCCGAAG